CCUGCCUGAUGGAGGGGGAUAACUACUGGAAACGGUAGCUAAUACCGCAUAACGUCGCAAGACCAAAGAGGGGGACCUUCGGGCCUCUUGCCAUCAGAUGUGCCCAGAUGGGAUUAGCUAGUAGGUGGGGUAAUGGCUCACCUAGGCGACGAUCCCUAGCUGGUCUGAGAGGAUGACCAGCCACACUGGAACUGAGACACGGUCCAGACUCCUACGGGAGGCAGCAGUGGGGAAUAUUGCACAAUGGGCGCAAGCCUGAUGCAGCCAUGCCGCGUGUGUGAAGAAGGCCUUCGGGUUGUCAAGCACUUUCAGCGAGGAGGAAGGUGGUGAUCUUAAUACGUUCAUCAAUUGACGUUACUCGCAGAAGAAGCACCGGCUAACUCCGUGCCAGCAGCCGCGGUAAUACGGAGGGUGCAAGCGUUAAUCGGAAUUACUGG
rnacentral:rRNA from 1 species